UUGCUUCAGCAGCACAUAUACUAAAAUUGGAACAAUGCAGAGAAGAUUAGCAUGACCCUUGCACAAGGAUGACACAAAAAUUCAUGAAUCAUUCCAUACUUUU